CCGAGUUUACAACUCCCAAACCCAAUGUGAACAUACCUCAAGUUGUUCGGGAACGCCCGGCGGCAUCAGACCCUCCGUCCGCGGGGAUAGGGAGCUAGCCGGACCAGGCGCCGCCAGGAGGUACCCUAAACUCUGUCUUCAGUAUAUUACUUCUGAGUGAAAACGCAUAAAUAAAUCA
rnacentral:misc_RNA from 1 species